rnacentral:lncRNA from 1 species
GGAAAGCUGCAGAAGUCACCAAAGGAAGCAGACUAGCGAACAAAAGUCACCCCCAAAAGAAGAGGAGGGUCUCCUCGGGGUUCGUUUGGGGCAGCUAGGCGCGGGCGGUGGCUGCACAGCCCGGCGGAGAUAAUCAUCAUCAGCAUCUGGAAGCACAUCGCUUACUGGGUCUCCACUCCACCCUGUUGACAGCGCUAUUUGCUUCAUUCUAUACAAGGAUGUCCCCUGCACAAAGCCAGGUGCCCUGAUUCUUAGAAUGUAAUGGUGGCCCACGCUAUUCCUUUCAGCUUCCUACCCGAAAACAGAUACUGAACUUCCUGUCUGAGCUAGGAUUUUAUUGCUGUGAUAAAUACUACAAACGAUCAAAAGUAACUUGGAGAGAAAAGAGUUUAUGGCAUCCUACAGCCUGCAGUCCGUUAUCCUGGAAAGUCAGGCCAAGAAUUCCAGGCAGGAACCUGGAGGCAAGAACUAAGUGGAAGCCAUAGAAGAAUGCUGCUUCCAGGCUUGUUCCCUAUGCCUUGCUCAGACUUGCUUCUUUCUCCUACAACCUGGAAGUCUGUGAGGGUGUGUUACAUAAUAAAUUUUAAUCAAAGCAACACAAACAAACGGUCACAAAAUAAAUCAUGCAAAAAUAUUUCCUUAAGAAACAACUGAACCCAGCUCCAGGGUGACUGGACCCAACGUCAUUCCCCAAAGGCAUCUUUCUUUUAUUGUGUAAAUGGAGAGAAAAAUGUUGUUCUGUGAAAUGUACCUAUUUUAAGUGUAUUGUUGUGUGGACUGUGAUGAUGGCUCAGAGUCCUGUCACUCUCUCUGUUAAAAUAGAGGGUAUUUGCAUCACUGAGAAAAGAUCGCUCAUGUGAUGACUCAGCUAAUUUUCUCACCCCUAUCCAGGAGGCACAUUAUGUAUGCAGUGUUGCAUGCUAGGCUAGCUUGCCUCUGGUAGAACAUAUAAACAUAUGAAUUUAAUCAUACUGUAUGUUCUCUUAGUUUCUUUCAUAUAGCAUGGAACUGUAACUAUUUCUUAUUGUAGUCAUUUUCAGUUUGCUCCUCAUACAGUAUUUAGUUUCCUGGCUUGCUUAGUAAUUAUACUGUGGGAACAUUUCAAUUAGUGCCUAUUCAUAUUAUAAUUUCUCUAUUUGCUUGAUGAUAGACAUGUAAGCUUUUUCUCUGUUUAGCCCUACUGGGAUUUUGAUUGAAAUUUCAAUGAAUUUGUAGACAGUUUAGAAGAGUAGCUGUCUCAGAAGUACUUGAUGUUUGAAUCAGUGAGACACUGAACAACUCUGAUUAAGUCUUUGUUAAUUUCUUUUAGUAAUAUAAUCGUUAAUAGUUUGUUAAGUUUAUCAUAUGUAUUUUGAGAUCCUUUGAUGCUGUGGAGAACAGUAUUAUUAUUUCUAUUUUCCUUCUCUUGUUC